AGAGUUUGAUCCUGGCGUCAGGAUGAACGCUGGCGGCGUGCCUAACACAUGCAAGUCGAACGGAGCUAUCACUGACGGAGAUUCGUCAAAGUCGGUCCUAGCUUAGUGGCGGACGGGUGAGUAACGCGUGGGUAACCUGCCUCACAGAGGGGGAGUAACAGUUGGAAACGACUGCUAAUACCGCAUAAGCCCACAGGACCGCAUGGUCCAGGGGGAAAAGAUUCAUCGCUGUGAGAUGGACCCGCGUUUGAUUAGUUAGUUGGCGGUGUAACGGACCACCAAGACGACGAUCAAUAGCCGGACUGAGAGGUUGAACGGCCACAUUGGGACUGAGACACGGCCCAAACUCCUACGGGAGGCAGCAGUGGGGAAUAUUGCACAAUGGGGGAAACCCUGAUGCAGCGACGCCGCGUGGGUCGAAGAAGUUUUCGGAAUGUAAAGCCCUAUCAGCAGGGAAGAAAAUGACGGUACCUGACUAAGAAGCCCCGGCUAACUACGUGCC
rnacentral:rRNA from 1 species